rnacentral:rRNA from 1 species
GACGAACGCUGGCGGCGUGCCUAACACAUGCAAGUCGAACGGAAGGGCCCUGCUUUUGUGGGGUGCUCGAGUGGCGAACGGGUGAGUAACACGUGAGUAACCUGCCCUUGACUUUGGGAUAACUUCAGGAAACUGGGGCUAAUACCGGAUAGGAGCUCCUGCUGCAUGGUGGGGGUUGGAAAGUUUCGGCGGUUGGGGAUGGACUCGCGGCUUAUCAGCUUGUUGGUGGGGUAGUGGCUUACCAAGGCUUUGACGGGUAGCCGGCCUGAGAGGGUGACCGGCCACAUUGGGACUGAGAUACGGCCCAGACUCCUACGGGAGGCAGCAGUGGGGAAUAUUGCACAAUGGGCGGAAGCCUGAUGCAGCAACGCCGCGUGCGGGAUGACGGCCUUCGGGUUGUAAACCGCUUUCGCCUGUGACGAAGCGUGAGUGACGGUAAUGGGUAAAGAAGCACCGGCUUACUACGUU